CCCAGACUCCUACGGGAGGCAGCAGUGGGGAAUAUUGGGCAAUGGGCGCAAGCCUGACCCAGCAACGCCGCGUGACGGAAGAAGGCUUUCGGGUUGUAAACUUCUUUUAUGAGGGACGAAGGAAGUGACGGUACCUCUUGAAUAAGCCACAGCUAACUACGUGCCAGCAGCCGCGGUAAUACGUAGGUGGCAAGCGUUAUCCGGAUUUAUUGGGUGUAAAGGGCGUGCAGGCGGGAGCGCAAGUCAGAUGUGAAAACUCAGGGCUCAACCCUGAGCCUGCAUUUGAAACUGUGUUUCUUGAGUGCUGGAGAGGCAAUCGGAAUUCCGUGUGUAGCGGUGAAAUGCGUAGAUAUACGGAGGAACACCAGUGGCGAAGGCGGAUUGCUGGACAGUAACUGACGCUGAGGCGCGAAAGCGUGGGGAGCAAACAGGAUUAGAUACCCCCGUA
rnacentral:rRNA from 1 species